rnacentral:rRNA from 1 species
ACUCCUACGGGAGGCAGCAGUGAGGAAUAUUGGACAAUGGAGGAGACUCUGAUCCAGCCANGCCGCGUGUAGGAAGAAUGCCCUAUGANGUUGUAAACUNCUUUUAUACAGGAAGAAACNCUGGUAUGUAUANCAGCUUGGCGGUACUGUCAGAGGAAGG